UCGCCGCGGCCGGGAAAACGGAAAAUUAACGUAAAGACUGAACGCGGAAUCGAGACAUAAAUAAACGAAAACCAGCAGUUUUGAAUAUUCGAAAAAGCCAGAAUUGAUGGGAAAAUAAUUCCGCAAGAUCCUUGUUCAUCCCAUUCUUUAGGGUACUUUAUGGUGAGCGUGAAAGUGGAAAAGUGCAAAGAGCAGACAAAAACCUAAAUGAAAACUUGUGAAUAUAUAUAUUGUGAAAGAGUGUGAAGAAAAUCCAGUCGGUGAUUAAGCCAAGAAGCCGUUCCCAAACUAAACAGUUUCCAGUGAGGUUCGACAGCAGCCGAAGUUUUCCGAAGUUGCCGCGAAGCGAACGCUGGCGAGUGUGUUUAUUUAACACACUUCCUCGUGGCGAAAGCCUUCAGUUCGUGUCUGCUGCUCGCGAAGUGCGCGUGAACAGGGGAAACGGAUACGGAAACGUAAAUGUAAACGAAAGCGGAAACGGAAGCGAGAACUUGAACGAAAUUCGACUCGAAGCGAGACUGUGUGUGCGUGUCUGUGUAAUGGAAAGAUCGCUGCAUCCAAAAGAUCACCAUGUCCAGCUCAAGAUUGCUCAACUAGUUAAUUAAUAACUUAUAACUGAAGAAAACAAAAAUAAUAACAAACAACCGGUGUGUGUGACUCAAAGAGCAGCUCUUUAAAGAAACCGUAUUAAGCCAAGACUUUACCUUGGAUUAGGCAGCAUGUGUGCCACGGGGAGGAACCACCGGCUCCUCAAUCGCCUCAGCAGCCUCAGCGCCCUGCUCCUCGUCCUUGGCGCGCAAUUCAUUCGCGUGGAGUUCGCCCGGGCGGAUUACGAGAACACCUGGAAUUUGUAUUACGAGCCGCCAUGCUGCACAGGCUCCGCCGCCGGCCAUCAUCUGCGUCACCACAAAGAUCAUGUCAAGGACUUUAGCUGUGGCCCGCUGCACUACAAAACUUUCUACAUGGAUGAGCGCAAUAAUGCGCUCUAUGUGGGUGCAAUGGAUCGCAUCUUUCGUCUCAAUCUGCGCAACAUCAGUCAAUCGAUUUGUGAGCGCGAUGUCCUCAUAUUGGAGCCCACCGGCUCGGAUAUUCUCAACUGUGUGUCCAAGGGCAAGCGGGAGAAGGUGGAGUGCCGCAAUCACAUAAGAGUUAUUCAACCGAUGAAUUUCAAUGGACAGAAGCUGUAUGUUUGCGGGACCAAUGCCCACAAUCCAAAGGAUUAUGUAAUAAAUGCAAACUUAACACAUUUACCCAGAUCCCAGUACGUGCCCGGCAUCGGCCUGGGCAUUGGCAAGUGUCCCUACGAUCCCGCUGACAACUCAACCGCCGUCUAUGUGGAGAACGGAAAUCCCUUCGGUUUGCCCGCCCUGUACGCCGGCACGAAUGCAGAGUUCACCAAAGCGGAUUCCGUCAUAUUUCGCUCGGACCUUUACAAUCUGACAAAUGGACGCAAGGAGGCCAACUUCAAGAGAACCGUCAAAUAUGACUCCAAGCUGCUUGACAAACCCAACUUUGUUGGCUCCUUUGAGAUUGGAGAGUUUGUUUACUUCUUUUUCCGGGAACAUGCCGUGGAGUAUAUCAACUGUGGCAAGGCGGUGUAUUCCCGUGUGGCAAGGGUUUGUAAAAACGAUCGUGGUGGCAAAUAUAUGAUCAGCCAGAAUUGGGCCACUUACCUGAAGGCUCGCAUGAACUGCAGCAUAUCCAGCGAGUUUCCCUUCUACUUCAAUGAGAUACAAUCGGUGUACAAGAUGCCCUCGGAUGAUACCAAAUUCUAUGCUACAUUUACAACGAAUACAAAUGGUCUGAUUGGAUCGGCAGUAUGUAGCUACGAUAUAGGAGAUAUUAAUGCAGCCUUUGAUGGCAAAUUCAAGGAGCAGGCCACCUCAAAUAGCGCCUGGCUGCCCGUGCUGAACUCCAAAGUGCCGGAGCCACGUCCGGGAACUUGCCACAACGACACCGCCACGCUGCCGGACUCCGUGUUGAAUUUCAUCCGCAAACAUCCGCUAAUGGACAAGGCGGUCGAUCAUGAAUUUGGCAAUCCGGUCUUCUUCAAGCGGGACGUCAUCCUCACCAAGCUGGUGGUGGACAAGAUACGGAUCGACAAGCUGAACCAGGAAUUCCUCGUGUACUUUGUGGCCACAACCUCGGGCCACAUUUACAAGAUAGUUCAGUUUAUGCACUAUGGCCAGCGGCACUCAAACCUGGUGGACAUCUUUGAGGCCUCGCCGCACAACGAACCAAUCCGGGAGCUGACCCUUAGUCACAAGACGGGCUCCCUGUACCUGGCCACCGAUCAUCAGGUGAAGCAGAUCGAUAUGGCCAUGUGUGCCCGUCGCUAUGACAGCUGUUUCCGUUGCGUUGCGGAUCCUUACUGCGGCUGGGACAAGGAGGUGAAAGCCUGUCGUCCAUACCAGUUGGGUUUGCUCCAGGACGUGGCCAACGAGACGUCGGGCAUUUGCGACACGAGUGUGCUGAAGAAGAAGGUAACCUCGUCCUAUGGCCAGACACUGCAUCUUUCGUGCUUCGUCAAGAUGCCGGAAGUGCUGAGGAAGAAGCAGACCCGCUGGUAUCAUCAUUCCACGGAAAAGGGACGCUACGAGGUGCGCUACACGCCCACCAAAUACAUCGAGACGAAUGAAGGCGGACUGGUGCUCCUGGCGGUGAAUGAGGGCGAUGGCGGACGCUAUGACAGCUACUUGGAUGGCACCCUGCUCUGCAGCUACGGUGUCACCGUGGAUGCCCACAGAUGUUCGCCGCCAUCGCAGAAGCAGGACUAUCAGAAAAUCUACUCGCACUGGUGCAAUGAGUUCGAGAAAUACAAAUCGGCCAUGAAGCAGUGGCAGGCCAAACAGGAGCAAUGCGGCCUCAAGGAUAAAGCAGGACCAAUCAGCAGCAACGACGGCAAGCACGUGAACGAUGUGUUCAGCAACGAUGCCCUGGUCUGACCCAGAACGUACUUGUACAGCUUUGAAUUUCUGUCGUCGUCGUCGUCCUCGGAGGGCGUUUCCAUCGCCCACCGCACAUUGUACAUUUUCGUGUUCGUGCUUACCAUAUUUGCUCGCUUCUAAAGUUUCUAGUUAAAAUGUAAAUGCGCAGAGGAGCAAAACCAAACAGAGUGAGCCACCCAAGAAAUCUGUGUGGAAAACAUCUACGAGAAUGUGACAAGGGACGACGAAAAAAACUAAAAGGAAAAGCAACCAAGAAAGCAAAACAAAAAACAAAAAAACUAUAAAAAAGAUGGAAGGAAAAACCACUACAAAGACUGAAAUUUUUAAGCUUUUAAAAUCGACAAUAUUUCCAAUAAUUUCGAUGCGUUUAUAUAAUAUUUGGUUUUUUUUUGUGUCAUUGUUCCGUUUCGUUUUUAAAGAUGUUGUCAGCGUCUAACUGAAUGAUUUUCGACAUAUUAACUAACUGAUAUACAAAGAUGGAGUAAACGAGAAAAGUUACUAGCAAAAGGAUCCUGCCAUAAGUCAAAUGGAAAUUACGGUUUUACACUCACACAGAAAAAAAAAACACU